rnacentral:rRNA from 1 species
GAUUAACGCUGGCGGCGUGCCUAACACAUGCAAGUCGAGCGGCAGCGAGUUUUACACUGAAUUCUGGAAGCUUCUAGUUGAAAGAGAAGAUUUAUUCAAGAAUUUUGUGUAAAAUGUCGGCGAGCGGCGGACGGCUGAGUAACGCGUGGGAACGUACCCCAAAGUGAGGGAUAACGCAUCGAAAGGUGUGCUAAUACCGCAUAUGGUCUUCGGAUUAAAGCCUUCGGGCGCUUUGGGAACGGCCUGCGUAAGAUUAGAUAGUUGGUGGGGUAAUGGCCUACCAAGUCGACGAUCUUUAACUGGUUUGAGAGGAUGAUCAGUCAGACUGGAACUGAGACACGGUCCAGACUCCUACGGGAGGCAGCAGUGAGGAAUCUUCCACAAUGGGCGAAAGCCUGAUGGAGCAACGCCGCGUGCAGGAUGAAGGCCUUCGGGUUGUAAACUUCUUUUAUAAGUGAGGAUUAUGACAGUAACUUAUGAAUAAGGAUCGGCUAACUACGUG